CGGAGGGUGCAAGCGUUAUCCGGAUUUACUGGGUUUAAAGGGUGUGUAGGCGGGCUUUUAAGUCGGUGGUGAAAUCUCCGAGCUCAACUUGGAAACUGCCAUUGAUACUAUUAGUCUUGAAUUUUGUUGAGGUAGGCGGAAUAAGUCAUGUAGCGGUGAAAUGCAUAGAUAUGACUUAGAACACCAAUUGCGAAGGCAGCUUGCUAAACAACAUUGACGCUGAGGCACGAAAGCGUGGGGAUCAAACAGGAUUAGAUACCCUGGUAGUCCACGCCCUAAACGAUGAUUACUCGACAUACGCGAUACACAGUGUGUGUCUGAGCGAAAGCAUUAAGUAAUCCACCUGGGAAGUACGACCGCAAGGUUG
rnacentral:rRNA from 1 species